rnacentral:rRNA from 1 species
UACGUAGGGAGCGAGCGUUGUCCGGAAUUACUGGGUGUAAAGGGAGCGUAGGCGGGCUUGUAAGUUGAAUGUCUAAUCCACCGGCUUAACUGGUGGUCGCGUUCAAAACUGCAGGUCUUGAGUGCUGGAGAGGCAAUCGGAAUUCCGUGUGUAGCGGUGAAAUGCGUAGAUAUACGGAGGAACACCAGUGGCGAAGGCGAUUCUCUGGGCCAAGACUGACGCUGAGGCGCGAAAGCGUGGGGAGCAAA